rnacentral:rRNA from 1 species
UACGUAGGGUGCGAGCGUUGCCCGGAUUUACUGGGCGUAAAGGGCGCGUAGGCGGUCUUGUAAGUCUUGUGUGAAAUCCCUCGGCUUAACUGAGGAACUGCACGGGAUACUGCGAGACUUGAGAUCGGGAGAGGGAAGCGGAAUUCCGGGUGUAGCGGUGAAAUGCGUAGAUAUCCGGAGGAACACCGGUGGCGAAGGCGGCUUCCUGGACCGACACUGACGCUGAGGCGCGAAAGCUAGGGGAGCAAACGGG